rnacentral:rRNA from 1 species
GAUGAACGCUGGCGGCGUGCUUAACACAUGCAAGUCGAACGAUGAAGCCCAGCUUGCUGGGUGGUUUCGUGGCGAACGGGUGAGUAACACGUGAGUAAACUGCCCUUCACUCUGGGAUAAGCCUGGGAAACUGGGUCUAAUACCUGCUAGGUGCUAUCUCCGCCUGGAGGGUGCUGGAGAGAUUUAUCGGUUUUGGGUCGAUUCGCGGCUUAUCAGCUUGUUGGUGAGGUAAUGGCUCACCAAGGCGUCGACGGGUAGCCGGCCUGGGAGGGGGAACGGGCACAAUGGGACUGAGACACGGCCCAGACUCCUACGGGAGGCAGCAGUCGGGAAUAUUGCACAAUGGGCGCAAGCCUGAUGCAGCGACGCCGCGUGAGGGAUGACGGCCUUCGGGUUGUGAACAUCUUUCAGUAGGGAAGAAGCGAUAGUGACGGUACCUGCAGAAGAAGCACCGGCUAACUACGUG